AUUGAACGCUGGCGGCAGGCCUAACACAUGCAAGUCGAGCGGAUGAAGGGAGCUUGCUCCUGGAUUCAGCGGCGGACGGGUGAGUAAUGCCUAGGAAUCUGCCUGGUAGUGGGGGAUAACGUCCGGAAACGGGCGCUAAUACCGCAUACGUCCUGAGGGAGAAAGUGGGGGAUCUUCGGACCUCACGCUAUCAGAUGAGCCUAGGUCGGAUUAGCUAGUUGGUGGGGUAAAGGCCUACCAAGGCGACGAUCCGUAACUGGUCUGAGAGGAUGAUCAGUCACACUGGAACUGAGACACGGUCCAGACUCCUACGGGAGGCAGCAGUGGGGAAUAUUGGACAAUGGGCGAAAGCCUGAUCCAGCCAUGCCGCGUGCGUGAAGAAGGUCUUCGGAUUGUAAAGCACUUUAAGUUGGGAGGAAGGGCAGUAAGUUAAUACCUUGCUGUUUUGACGUUACCAACAGAAUAAGCACCGGCUAACUACGUG
rnacentral:rRNA from 1 species